UACGGGGGGGGCAAGCGUUGUUCGGAAUUACUGGGCGUAAAGCGCGUGUAGGCGGCUCUUCAAGUCGCGUGUGAAAGCUCCAGGCUUAACCUGGGAAUUGCGCUCGAUACUGUUGAGCUAGAGUGUGGAAGGGGCUACUGGAAUUCCGUGUGUAGCGGUGAAAUGCCUAGAUAUACGGAGGAACACCUGCGGCGAAGGCGGGUAGCUGGGCCAACACUGACGCUGAGACGCGAAAGCUAGGGGAGCAAACGGG
rnacentral:rRNA from 1 species